UACGUAGGGUGCAAGCGUUGAUCGGAAUUACUGGGCGUAAAGCGUGCGCAGGCGGCUUUGCAAGUCAGAUGUGAAAUCCCCGGGCUCAACCUGGGGACUGCAUUUGUGACUGCAUGGCUAGAGUACGGUAGAGGGGGAUGGAAUUCCGCGUGUAGCAGUGAAAUGCGUAGAUAUGCGGAGGAACACCGAUGGCGAAGGCAGUCCCCUGGACCUGUACUGACGCUCAUGCACGAAAGCGUGGGGAGCAAACAGG
rnacentral:rRNA from 1 species